AAAGUCGUCGUCGGAAGGUCCGCCUGCUCCGACUUCGAUUUCGCAUAUGCCCAAUUAUGCCGACCUGUUCUCUCUCAAAAACCCGCAACACUGCUGUCGCUUCCGCUUACUCGCUACCGUCCACAACAAACAACAGUACCGCGGCUAACCGAAUUUAAGCGGAGCACCGACGUGGGAAACUGCCUGAGGAAGGUGUAUUCCCGAUGUCCCGAGGUAUACAACAGCGAGAAAAGCAACUAUGGUGGAUGGUACAGGCCGGAAUGGCACAUCGUCACUGGUCUGCUGUGAAAUACCACCAUCGGACCGGUGAAACACAUCCGCGCUGCAAUGCACUGCGAUGAAAAAGAUCAUCGCAAGUUCUCCGACUGUUGCACACUAGGCUCAGCUGCCCCGUAUGAACAGAACGAAAAUGAGUCCGCUGCCCGCCAGACUAUUUGCCAGCGUUUGAAAGCCCUCGUAGAACGCAUCAGCGGCACGGAUGGUAUUGAAAUGGGGAGAAAAUGCGGUCAAGAUGCUAUGGAAACGGUGAAAGAGGGUUAUCAGCAGUUGCAUGAUGUAUACUGUCCUAAUCUGUAAACGGCUGUUCAUAACAUUAAUUUGAAUACUUCGCACGCUUGGAUUUUUUUUCAUUGCUUGUUUGAGCUGUUUCAUCAAGGUGGAGGGAGACCAUUGUAGCGGACUUUUCCAUAGAACAACCGGCGACUUGAACUGCGCGAAAUGCGUUGAGCGAGAUGAUUUUUCAAGUUGAUUACUGGUUAUUUCAUUUUUAUUAGAUCAGUUGUGGUAAUUAGUGCGAAUUACAAUUAUCGCCGACUACUGAAAAUGUUAAGGCGA